UUUCAUCUCAUCACAGGGUAUUAUUAUAUCAACUCCAUUUUGUGCAGACCAUUAAUGUGCAGCUGACAAUUUUGCCCAGCAGCUGCAGUGAAAGACAUAGAGCAGCAACCGGAAACCGGCAAAAAACAUUGCGCCUUUAAGCAUGGAUUUUUUUCUACACUUCCUCCUCCCCGCUCUUCGCUGUACUUUGGAAUUUAAUUCAUUUGUGUAUAGGAGUGUAUGUGCAUCAUGUUCAUCAAUCAAUUAAUCGAUACGCGCAAUGCCAAACGAAAUUGCUGGGAGUCUGAUUCUGUGUAUAUGUGGGAAAUGGAAAAACUCCUGGCUCAGUUGAGUGGAAGGCGUUGUAAUAUUAAUAAAAUGAAAUAAAAU